GCUGGGGGUAGAGCUCAGUGGUAAAGCACUUACCUAGCAUGUGGGAGGCCCUGGAUUCAAUCCCCAGCACAGAA
rnacentral:tRNA from 1 species